rnacentral:rRNA from 1 species
AUUGAACGCUGGCGGCAGGCCUAACACAUGCAAGUCGAGCGGAUGAAGGGAGCUUGCUCCUGGAUUCAGCGGCGGACGGGUGAGUAAUGCCUAGGAAUCUGCCUGGUAGUGGGGGAUAACGUCCGGAAACGGGCGCUAAUACCGCAUACGUCCUGAGGGAGAAAGUGGGGGAUCUUCGGACCUCACGCUAUCAGAUGAGCCUAGGUCGGAUUAGCUAGUUGGUGGGGUAAAGGCCUACCAAGGCGACGAUCCGUAACUGGUCUGAGAGGAUGAUCAGUCACACUGGAACUGAGACGCGGUCCAGACUCCUACGGGAGGCAGCAGUGGGGAAUAUUGGGCAGUGGGCGAAAGCCUGAUCCAGCCAUGCCGCGUGUGUGAAGAAGGUCUUCGGAUUGUAAAGCACUUUAAGUUGGGAGGAAGGGCAGUAAGUUAAUACCGUGCUGUUUUGACGUUACCAGCAGAAUAAGCACCGGCUAACUUCGUG